UACCAGCACCCCGAGUGGUCGGGACGUUUAUUGGGCCUAAAGCAUCCGUAGCCGGUUCUACAAGUCUUCCGUUAAAUCCACCUGCUUAACAGAUGGGCUGCGGAAGAUACUAUAGAGCUAGGAGGCGGGAGAGGCAAGCGGUACUCGAUGGGUAGGGGUAAAAUCCGUUGAUCCAUUGAAGAACACCAGUGGCGAAGGCGGUCUGCUGGGCCGUUGCUGACGCUGAGGCGCGACAGCGUGGGGAGCAAACAGG
rnacentral:rRNA from 1 species